CACAGGGACACACAUCUCGAAGAACCAUCAUUACUGCACAAGAAACCAGGGAAGAGGAUCAGCACUGCCCAGAGUCCAGUCUUCAACCAAGGACAGUUGAGAAGGAACUGAGGAGGGUGAGGGACACACGCGCUCAGGAAGAUUCCAAUGAGACAGGAGAUACCAGCUGAGUGCAUGCGUCCCGACCAGGCACUGCUACCAAAGAUCUCCGAUCAAUGGCGCCGGGACGCACAAUCACCUAGAGUGGAACACCCACAGGGACAGCACUGGAAGCAGAAACCAAUUAACAAUGUAUAGACUAAGACUAACUAAACAAUGUAACUAAGUAUAGACUAAAAAAGUUCCUAUGUAACUUGUAACUUUUUUUUUCCCCAGAAAGUAUCAGAGAGAGCACUGCUGCAGAGCUCCGUCUGCAGCCGAGGAUGAUGGUCGGGGGAGCACAUGCUACAGGAGGUGCCAACGGCUGCACAAGACAACUCCUGUACACACCUUUCCUCCGACCGAGUACUGCUGCGAGAAAUCUCUGAUCUCCGGCGCAGGGACACACCAACACCUAGAGUGGAGCACCCAUAGGGACACCUAUAAGCAAGCAUUUGCUUGAUUGCUUUUGGGGGAAGACAGCUAUAAAAGAAUGGCCUGGGAAUGAUUCUUUAUCUCUGGACUGAUGAAUUCUGACAGGGUGGAUGAAUUCUGAGAUAUUGGACUGAGAUCCGUAGAACCAUUCUAGGUGACCCUUGCAAACUAUUGGACACCAGCAAAUUACCAUACCUUUGCUACCACAUUGGACUUACAAACUUUGAUUCACCUGUAAUGUAUUUUACCUGCUUUGACCUCUCUCAAUAACUCUAAUUUUUUUUCUUCACUAAUAAAUCUUCAGUUUAGUUUACUAA